CUCAGUUCGGACUGGAGUCCGCAACCCGACUCCACGAAGCUGGAUUCGCUAGUAAUCGCGCAUCAGCCACGGCGCGGUGAAUACGUUCCCGGGCCUUGUACACACCGCCCGUCAAGCCAUGGGAGCCGGGGGUACCUGAAGUGCGUAACCGCGAGGAUCGCCCUAGGGUAAAACUGGUGACUGGGGCUAAGUCGUAACAAGGUAUC
rnacentral:rRNA from 1 species